GACAAGUGGAACCCAUGGUUCCAUCCAGGCUGUUGGAAUUUCAAGAUUCAGUGGAUGGACUGCCCUCUGAAAAUAGCACUUCAGCGCCAAGCCUGCAAGUGGAUGUUUGAGAAGAGAGAGUUGAAAGAUUCAUAAGCAGAGGUGUUUCACUGCAUACUCGGGUUUUCAGUUCUGACUUGUGGGGCGGCUAGGCUCAUUGUUCAGAAAUUCAUACCAUGGGUCUAUUGUAUACCAGACUGCCGUAAAGUUUCCUCUUUUGGAAAAAUCCUGUGCCUGUUUGGGUGCUGCUUAAACACGAGUUCAUCUCAUUUUAGUCAAAUGGUAAUUGUGUAUUUGAGAGAUCAUAUUUCUUUUCGGUAGAUAAAAAAUAAUCUUCUUGACACCAACUAUCAUGAGCUCUAAUGCACAAUGAAAAUGAACUAAAAGCUCAUAUUGAGGUGGCAUCCAAACAGGGGCUUAGUCCUAGUUUGUGGUUUACAGAUGGAUGCAAGAGAAACAUUGGUGGUCCAUACUCAACUGAGAGGAGGCUUGGUAGUGGUGACCGGGAUCUUCCUAUCAAGGAGAUUCUCGGGGCAUGGUCCAUCCGCAGUGGCAGGCAACAGACUGAUGAUGGUCUGGAUGCUGGAUUACUUAACCAUGGCCCCCAAUUUGUCAUGACCAGCUCAAGGAUCCUAUGAUUGAUCCUAUGACUCUAAUAUCUGAGUGAUUUUUGGGAAUAUAAUAAACCAUCACAUCAUAUGAUGGGGAUUUUUAUUUAUUUAUUUACCACAGUUCCUCAAAGAAUUUUGAUUUUGACGAACCGUCUUUAUUUUAUAAAGUUGCCAAAGGGGCUUCUUGCGCAGGAAAUGAACGAAUACCUUUUCUGAAAGGUGGAGGUGAGUGUUGUGGGGCCAACAUGGCGUGUAUGACAUCUAACCCAUCCAACAGGUAGACCCACUAUGAUGAUGAGACGAACAGAAUAUCAGUUUGGUCCAAUAAUCAGCAGCGGGCCACACCGUAGAAAACAAUGUUCACCACCCAAAAAACAACGAAUUUGUAUGUGGGCCAUUUGAUGAACUUGAUGGGUGCACCUGUAGUCCGAUUGGGUACCAUUCAUGUGGGCCCCACAAUACUUGGACACCGAUCUUCAAAAACGUCAAGGCAUUGUUAGGUAAAAUUAGAAUUCUUGAGGAAAUUUGCCAGUAACAAUCCCUAUGAGAUGUUUCAAAAAUUCCAAAGUUACCUUGGAAGUAUAAAGAUUAAAAAAUCAACCGUUAAAUCAUUCAAUUGAAGGCUAGUAAGCCAGUAAAAAGAAAUAUGCUCCAAAUUCAGAUGGGAAACAGACGUUUAAGAUUGUCCCAUCACUGUGAUAUAGGUUAUGGCCCACUAGAAUGCGGCUAGAGAUUGUCCCCAGCACCACUUAGCAAAUGGUGCCAACACCAUUGACCCAUUAGAUGAGCAAGUCUGUCAGUCAAUCCUCACCGAGCACUUAAAUGACCACCUUGUGGAUUGGCCACUGUACAAAGAUGAGGUCUGUUUAUCCAUCCUUUUCAGCCACUGGCUAGUUUUCACUUGAACCGUCCAUCGUACUUUCAGCAAUAAGCCAUGUAAGAUCAUCCGCGUAGAGUGAAAUCUCGGUAAUGAAAUGGAGCCCACUAUUUGGACGGUUUACUUUGAGGUGUACGGAUCAGUUUUGUCCGUCUGUUUCCCAGUGAAGAGAUACGGAAGUCCCCCCCUCCUACACGUGGCAACAUGUCCCACAAUCUGAACCGUGGGUCUGCUAGGGCCAUCGAGUGGAUGGUCCACAGGUAAAAAAAUAACAUUACUGGACAACGCAGAUCCAGUUCCCGUGAGUUUUACUAGUUGAAUGUGAACCGCUGAUCAAACCGUUCUUUUCGUAGGCUACUCAUCUGAUCGAUAAAACACUCAAAUCCUGAUCAGUUUUGAUCUGUGUCCUAUCCAUGUGGUGUCCCACCAUAACAACCGUUCUGAUGAACAUUACUGAUGUCCAAGUGUACGGUGAGUAUGAAAAUGCAUAGAACUUUCAUGCAGCUACAUGCAUAUUAGUAUCUUCAGAAGGCAGGAAAAACAUCCCCGCCACCUCCAACCUCCCGCGGAGAAGCAAGCAGGCGUCAAUGGUCUCCAGAGUCCCAAAGACUCUCUUACAUCCUUCCUUUCUCUACUAUCGGAGUUGUUUCAUAGAUGAACAUCAUUCAUUAAAGAAGAUAUUUCCUUUUCUACGACGGAAUUUCAUGUCACACAUCCAAGACAGAUUUGGGCGUAACUGCACCGGAACCAAUAAAGAAAACUACCAAUUUUGGAAUAUUACUUUCCCGAGUCAUGCUCCAUACCAGAAUUUGUAUAUAGAAAGAGACCCAAACUCUUCCACUGAAUAUGAUGAGUAUCCUGGUUCAAGCUCACAUGCUGAGGUGGGGUCCAUGCCCGGUUCUGAUAACCUGGUUUUGCGCGAUGAUCCUUCAAUUAGCAAAGAUGCUGUUAUGAUCCAAAAUCUUCUGAAGGUUCAUCAAGACCCUGCUAAGCUGAAAUCAGCUCUUUAUCAGUGUGGACUUUCUGUUACUGAAAAUCUAGUUAUUGAGGUACUUCAGAGACAUCGCUCCGAUUGGUGUCCUGCUUUCUUGUUCUUCAAUUGGGCUUCUGGCCAAAAAGGCUAUUCUCAUGGAUCUAGAGCUCUCAAUGAGAUGCUUGAUAUUCUAGGGAGGAUGAAGCAAUUUGAAUUGAUGAGGAAACUAAUCGAUGAAAUCCCACAAGAGAAACGGACAUCCCUCGUCACUGAAAGAACGUUUGCAAUUCUGUUGAACAGAUAUGCAUCUGGUCACAAGGUAGAAGAAGCAAUAGAGAUGUUCUACAAGCGGGAAGAGUUCGGCCUAAAACUCGACAAUACCGCUUUCCACACACUUCUGAUGUCUCUCUGUAGAUACAAACACGUCGCAGCAGCCGAAUCUCUCUUUCUAUUGAAGCAGGAUGAGUUCACUCCAGAUAUAAAAAGUCGAAAUAUAAUCCUCAAUGGUUGGUGUGUGUUGGGAAGCUUACGUGAAGCAAAAAGGUUCUGGAAUGAUAUAAUCAUCUCCAGGUGCAAGCCUGAUCUGUUCACAUAUGGGAUUUUCAUCAAUUCCCUGACAAAGGCAGGGAAAUUGAGCCGGGCAGUUGAAUUGUUCACUGCCAUGUGGAAAAAGGGUUGCCCACCGGAUGUGGCAAUCUGCAACUGCAUUAUCGAUGGCUUAUGCUUUAAGAAGAGAGUGCCAGAUGCUCUCACCAUCUUCGGUGAAAUGAAUGAGCAUGGCUGCCUUCCAAACGUUGCAACUUAUAACUCUCUUAUAAAACACCUCUGCAAGAUUCGAAGGAUGGAGAAAGCAUACGAGCUCUUGGAUGAAAUGGAACAGAAGGGCUGCCCCCCGAAUACCAGGACUUUUGGGUACUUCUUCAAAUCAAUGAAGAAGCCGGAGGAAGUGCCUGGAUUGUUGGAAAGGAUGGAGAGAAGUGGUUGUAGACUAAUGGGUGACACCUAUAACUUGAUCUUGAAGCUGUACAUUGAGUGGAAUCAUCUAGAAGGAAUCCAAUCGAUGUGGGUCGAGAUGGAAAAGAACGGGAUGGGUCCCGAUCAGCGAUCUUAUACUAUAAUGAUCCAUGGAUUUUACAACAAUGGAAGGAUGGAUGAGGCUUUACGGUAUUUUGCUGAAAUGACAUUGAAAGGAAUGAUACCAGAGCCAAGGACCGAAUUACUGAUCAAGGCGAUUGAACUAAAGCAGGAGACGAAUGGUAGUUUAUCGAUUGCUACAGUUAAAGAUGAGAAGAAGAGAGGAAGAUAGAUCUCUUUGGAAGUUCUACACUGAUUUCCUUCUGUAGACUGAAGAAAGCGAAAGAAAGAUGACCGUCGCUUCAUGCACAAUGCUCAAAUUCACGAAAUCAUACGCUGGAACCAGCAGGAUCGGCCACAUGCUUGAACGAUGGCGAAGAUUAGUUUUUCGUGUGUGGGUGAGUGGGCAUGCCAAAGUCUACUCAAUUCAAAGGUUUGAUUGAAUCACUGGUGUUCCCUGCAUCAAGAUGGACAGAUUGGAGUUUGGACACAAAAUCCAAUUAUCCUCUCAACUAUCGGUUUGUGCUCCAUUUAGUCGAUUUGUGAAAGGGUAGGGGUUAGCCCUUUUAAAUAAGUUCUUUUUGCAUUGGGAUAAUAGAUGUGCGUCUACGAGCUCAUUAACAUUUUUUAUACCGGUCUUCAAGUUUGUAUAUUUCUUAAAUGAACAAGAACGUAUAAAUAAAUAAAAUAAAAUUAAACAAUGCCAAUUUUAUUGAUAUUUAAAUGUAUGGCCCAUAACAAUAGAUAGUACCAAUCAACCAAAAAAAUAGUCGAAAGGUAAAGAUAAAUACCUGAUACAUAUAUUGAGACAGACGAUCAAGGUGGGUGGUUAGUAGGAUGUGACCAAGUUAUUAUGAUUGACCAAAUUAGAACUUAAUUGAUCAUUCUUACAACUUAAGGUUAAUGAUAUUUACUUUACUCCUAAUGUAUUAUAGCGAGAGCUGUUAUGCAGUAACUAUAUAAGCUAGAACUAGGCCAGACUAAGAUAAGAUAAAUGUAAAGUAGAUAGAUGUGUUUGGAAUGAGGUCCCGAGUUCUUCAUCGUGUGCUCUUUUUAUAUGACAUGUGCACACGUGAGGUAAACUUGGACAAUUGUGCAUGUGCAUGAAAUAAUGUGUUUUGACAUGUACCAAUCUAGAGAUAGCUAUCCUCGAUCUUACCCUUCCUUUUUGAGAAAGACAUACAAUCCUUAUUA